AGAGCAUCCACCACAUUAUCUUAACAACAGUCCCAUCUUGUUUUCCAUAAUUCACCAUCAGAUCCAGGUAAAUGCUGGCCACGGCCCUUCCAGGAAUUGAGGCAAGAUACUUCCACAGGUGACCAGUGGCUCAAGCUGUGGAUCCCAAGACAGUCCCUGAGGAGUACUGCAUGCUAAUCUCCAUCUCAGACUCUGCUUCCCAGGGUACCCAAUCCACAACAAUUACCAACCCCUUG
rnacentral:lncRNA from 1 species